CUGGCACUGUCCAAUAAGAAUGAUACUUUUGGGCUGGGCACAUGGCCUAGUGGCAAGGGUGCUUGACUUGUAUACAUGAAGCCCUGGGUGCGAUUCUCCAGCACCACAUAUAUAGAAAAUGGCCAGAAGUGGCGCUGUGGCUCAAGUGGCAGAGU